rnacentral:rRNA from 1 species
UACGUAGGGUGCGAGCGUUGUCCGGAAUUAUUGGGCGUAAAGAGCUUGUAGGCGGUUUGUCGCGUCUGCUGUGAAAAACGCGAGGCUCAACCUCGCGCCUGCAGUGGGUACGGGCAGACUAGGAGUGCGGUAGGGGGAGAUUGGAAUUCCUGGUGUAGCGGUGGAAUGCGCAGAUAUCAGGAGGAACACCGAUGGCGAAGGCAGAU